CUACACGUUAUCGCAAAUCCGAAACUAGGAAGCCAAUAAUGCGGACGACGCGUGAGUCUCAAAGGCCGCCGUUUCUUCGGCGUUUAGAAUCCUCGAGCCUGACGCGUCUCUCCAUCUCGUGUGAGAUAUCUUGGAAUUAUUGUAAUUGUUUACUGCUCAUUAAACUUCAGCAAGCUGCGUAUUCAUUUCGCUAACUGAAGACUUUUGGUUGUACGUAGGUUGAAUUGUUUUACUCUCAAAUGUAUUUAAAUGUGGAACGCUCUUUUUAGUAAUUUUGAAUAUUAUGUUUUUCUUCACACGAACUAUUUUAAAAAUAGGAAGAUUAAUUAGUGCAAAGAUAUCGAUAUUUUUUACUUUUAUUGUAAAUUCUUUUCAAUUCUUACAUUUUGAUGUCUACUUGACGUUAUAAUGUUAAUAAUUGUUAUAUAUAUAAAUAGCUAUAUUAGCAGAGGAUAUGUCGGAAUAGGAAAUAUCUUCUGCUUUAUCUCUUGUUCGUAUCAUAUCUCUUUGUUUUAUCUCCUUUCGUAUUGUUCAAUAGAAUAUUCUCACUCAAUAAUGGUAUUUUUUUGCUUGAUAUUGAUCUUUAGAUACGUGACGUAAAAAAAUCAUAUAUAGUCAAUUUAGUAAAAAUAGCUAUGAAGUUAUUUCAUUCUGCUACAAAAAAUUGUAAUAUUUUUACUACUACUUUUGAUCUCUUUUAUCUUUCUAUAGAAUAAAUUGUGAUUUCAGUUAUUUCUAGAUUCUAAAAGGGGUAUAAAUUCCACCCUUCGUUAUUUUGCGAAUUGAGUACUUCAGCGUGCGGAACGAUAUAACGAACUGAAAGGGUGGUAGCCUUUGGUGUGGUCAGCGUGACAACAAUGAGGUGAUGAAACAAGCUUCGCAAAACAUUGGAAAUAACCGUGAGAUUGCUCACUGGUCGUAGUUGUUACAUACAUACACGUGUAAGUGAUUUUAUCUAUGUGAAUAUUGGCUAAGUCAUCUUUCUUGCAUUUAUUACUAUGAUGCUUCCCGUUUGAAUUUUAUCGCAAUAAUCAUUUAAUUAUUGCUGCACGAUAAUCAGUUAGCGAAUAAUGAAAUUAUAAUUUCAUGUAAUUAGGAUCACGACAACAAUGUCAUUUCGUCUGUCUUGCUCUCGAUAGAUUCACUAAUUCAAGCUAAACUGCAUCCGAUGAAACAUGACUAUGAAGCAGUUCGUGACAUUGUUUGACAUGAUUUCACGCGUCCAACAACUUAUCAAAAAAAUUUCUUUUGUUGUUCUAUCACGAUUUACGUAUAGGACAUCACGUACGAGAGAAUUUACCGCGCAAGACGUCAUAAAUAA